AGUGAACGCUGGCGGUAGGCCUAACACAUGCAAGUCGAACGGCAGCACAGUAAGAGCUUGCUCUUACGGGUGGCGAGUGGCGGACGGGUGAGGAAUACAUCGGAAUCUACUUUUUCGUGGGGGAUAACGUAGGGAAACUUACGCUAAUACCGCAUACGACCUACGGGUGAAAGCAGGGGAUCUUCGGACCUUGCGCGAUUGAAUGAGCCGAUGUCGGAUUAGCUAGUUGGCGGGGUAAAGGCCCACCAAGGCGACGAUCCGUAGCUGGUCUGAGAGGAUGAUCAACCACACUGGAACUGAGACACGGUCCAGACUCCUACGGGAGGCAGCAGUGGGGAAUAUUGGACAAUGGGCGCAAGCCUGAUCCAGCCAUACCGCGUGGGUGAAGAAGGCCUUCGGGUUGUAAAGCCCUUUUGUUGGGAAAGAAAAGCAGCAGGUUAAUACCCCGCUGCUCUGACGGUACCCAAAGAAUAAGCACCGGCUAACUUCGUG
rnacentral:rRNA from 1 species